CAGAGUACAUUGGCUGACCUUAAUGCAAUUAAUUAGGGCUUAAUCAACUUCUGGUGGCUCAGCAGAGCACACAGCGAUUCCUGCCUUUCCAGGAGGGUUUAUAAGAGGUUAAAGCGGCUGAGGAGGGUUGGGAUGUAGUCUGCAGGCUGAGUGGGGCUGUGCUGGCAAGUACAACUCAGCUAGGCACUGGGACAAAGCUCGCGUGUCUUCCCAGGCUGGGCUUGUUGCUGGAGAUGCUGGUACAGGCAGAGGAUGUUCCCAGCAUCCCUGGCAUGGGACCCUGGCUCUGCACCCGUGGCUCUUCUUGGUGUACUUGUUGGAUGCCCGAAGGGAUUUUGGAGACCUUCACUAGGCGUAGGUGUCCACUGUAAGGUCUUAUUUGCACACCUUGUGUCUCCAGCUGCUGGCUCUUCGGCUUC